GCGCAUGCGUUGGAAGCUUCGGUUCCCGCAGGCGCCACCUUGUGAGACAGUUCUGUCGUAGAAGUUAUCUCGAGUAGUUCCUCGGUGGUUGUGUUCGUCCGGUUUUCCUGUGAUUUAUUCCGAUCUCGAGGGAUCCCUUUCGGUUACUACAACUCCGCCAAAAAGAAGCGAUGUCGAUGACUGGGUACUAAAUCAAUUUCGAGCUGACUGGAGAAGAAUCUAGUCGCGCUCAUUCGACUUACUGUUGAGUAUCAGCCAGCAAACACAAGCGAGGAUCAUGAAAAUGGUGCUGUCUCAACGUCAGAGGGAGGAGUU